GCAAAGGAGAUGGAUGGAAGGAAGAACCACACUACAACAUCGAAUCGAGGCCGAGACGGACCAACACAGACAAACAACUGCACACACAAGCCCCACCCCAAGCCAAAGCGAGAGAGACCACCCCAACCAACGCAGCAGCCAGCAACCUCCACCUCCUCCUCCUCCGCCGCGGCCGCCUUCCUCCUCCGCCGCCGCCGUCGCCGCCCGGACUCACUACCCCCUUGUGCUAACCCCCGGCCACCCAAGCAGGCCCCCCUCCCUCCACGACGGGCAGCGCGCCUCGGGAGGCACGCACGCGUCAGCAGCAGCGUCGUCAGCGUCAGCGGCAUCAGCAUCAGCAUCAGCAGCAGCAGCCGCGGCCGGAGAUCGCCUCCCCGCCUCCCCCCGCGUUCCAACGCGCCCCGCGCGCGGAAGCUGCAGCAGAGGUACAAGGUUGUUUGAUCUUGCUCAGGUGGCAGCUGGUCUCAGUUUUUUUCCCAUGGUUUCUGGAUAGGAAAAUUCUGGUAGGCUUCGUUCACAUGACGAAAGUUAGUUGUCAAGCUUGAAUUUUGUGGAGCAGGGAAACUUGUGUUUAUGCUAUGCUGUUUUAGGUUUUGUUUGGAAGUUACUCUGAGUGUACAGUUGACCUUGGCAUUUCAUAUCGUUCAUUCAUGGUUGGUUUUCUUA